rnacentral:rRNA from 1 species
GGGGAAUAUUGGACAAUGGGCGCAAGCCUGAUCCAGCCAUGCCGCGUGAGUGACGAAGGUCUUCGGAUUGUAAAGCUCUUUUGGCGGGGACGAUAAUGACGGUACCCGCAGAAUAAGCCCCGGCUAACUUCGUGCCAGCAGCCGCGGUAAUACGAAGGGGGCUAGCGUUGCUCGGAAUCACUGGGCGUAAAGCGCACGUAGGCGGACUUAUAAGUCAGGGGUGAAAUCCCGGAGCUCAACUUCGGAACUGCCUUUGAUACUGUGAGUCUCGAGACCGGAAGAGGUGAGUGGAAUUCCUAGUGUAGAGGUGAAAUUCGUAGAUAUUAGGAAGAACACCAGUGGCGAAGGCGGCUCACUGGUCCGGUUCUGACGCUGAGGUGCGAAAGCGUGGGGAGCAAAC